rnacentral:rRNA from 1 species
GACGAACGCUGGCGGCGUGCUUAACACAUGCAAGUCGAACGAUGAACCCGGAGCUUGCUCCGGUGGAUUAGUGGCGAACGGGUGAGUAACACGUGAGUAACCUGCCCUUGAUUCUGGGAUAACUGCGGGGAACUGUAGCUAAUACCGGACACGACCGUCGGCGGCAUCGCCCGGGGCGGGAAAGAAUUUCGGUAAAGGGUGGACUCGUGGCCCAUCAGCUAGUUGGGGAGGUAACGGCACACCAAGGCGACGACGGGUAGCCGGCCUGAGAGGGUGACCGGCCACACUGGGACUGAGACACGGCCCAGACUCCUACGGGAGGCAGCAGUGGGGAAUAUUGCACAAUGGGCGCAAGCCUGAUGCAGCAACGCCGCGUGAGGGAUGACGGCCUUCGGGUUGUAAACCUCUUUUAGUAGGGAAGAAGCGAAAGUGACGGUACCUGCAGAAAAAGCACCGGCUAACUACGUGCCAGCCGCCGCCGUAA